GCGCGAAAACAUUACAAUGCUGGCAACAGCGAUAAGGGAACCUCGAGUGCCAGGUUACAAAUCUGGCUGUCGAGAUGCCUAAAAAGCAUUUCAUAGCAAGGGCCGGGCAAGACCGGUGCCAGCCGCCGCGGUAACACCGGCGGCUCGAGUGGUAACCGUUAUUAUUGGGUCUAAAGGGUCUGUAGCCGGCCGGAUAAGUCUCUUGAGAAAUCUGGCAGCUUAACUGUCAGGCUUUCAGGAGAUACUGUCUGGCUCGAGGCCGGGAGAGGUGAGAGGUACUUCAGGGGUAGGGGUGAAAUCUUGUAAUCCUUGAAGGACCACCAGUGGCGAAGGCGUCUCACCAGAACGGACCUGACGGCAAGGGACGAAAACUAGGGGCACGAACCG
rnacentral:rRNA from 1 species